rnacentral:rRNA from 1 species
CACUGCCGAGAAAAGCCUCUAGAUAGAAAAUAGGUGCCCGUACCGCAAACCGACACAGGUAGUCAAGAUGAGAAUUCUAAGGUGAGCGAGCGAACUCUCGUUAAGGAACUCGGCAAAAUGACCCCGUAACUUCGGGAGAAGGGGUGCUCUUUAGGGUUAACGCCCAGAAGAGCCGCAGUGAAUAGGCCCAAGCGACUGUUUAUCAAAAACACAGGUCUCUGCU